UUUUCUGAAAAAAGGGUUAAAAAGCUUAUUGAACUGAUGGUUUUCGGGGUUGAUAUUCUUCUUUGAAGGGUCCUUUCAAGGUUUAAGAGAAGUAUAGGUACAAAUUUUUCUAUUAUCCUGAAUCCGGAUUUGAGUUUCAAGGAGAUAAAAAUUGAAGUUUAGGCUUGGAUUUCUAUGGUUGUUCUGUUGAUUUGCUGCUGAACUUCGCUAGUAUUCGAAGGCAAAAGGUGUAUUAUUAAGGCUGUAAUUGUUAAAAGAAGUUCGUAACUUCAGGUUUGGUUUUCUUUCUCACAUAUAACUCUGGUUUUAGCUGUUCUUGAGCUAUUGAAUUUUUGAGUUUGCAUCUCUUUGUUAUUGUCAUUUAAGUUUUUGUGGGAUCGAAUCAGUGAAUUCGAGUUUAGUUUCUUAUUGAUUUGUGACUAGCUGAAAUUUAUUUUUUUUUGUGUAAAGUCUGUUGAGCUAUGUCGAUUUUCUUUGAUGUGCUGUGGCUGAGAACUUGGUUCGCGUCUGUUUGUUUGACAUUAUUUGGACUUAAAACUAGAGGCUGAGGUCCAGUUGUGUGAGUUGAGCUCAACCUUGAAGUUCUGGGAAUUGGAAAAUAGUUUCUCGUUUCUACUUUAGUCUUGAUUCAUCGAGUCUUAAAGCUCGCCGCAAAGCUGCAUUGGUUCGUGUUGUAUUAAGUUAGACCCGUGUUGGUUUUUCUUUGUUUCUUCAUGUUAAAUGGUAUGAGCAGUAGGAUUCUCUGUUGCCUACAGGAACUUGUGAAUUUGGUAUGCUGCUCGACAAUUCAUUCUUAUUGGAUCAUGGUCUAAAGUGGUGUUGAAGAUAAAUUGUUUUGCGAAUUGUAUAUGUUCAGUUUUGCUCUGUUUUUUGCUCUUGCUCAAAAAUUUAUCUGCUUUGUUCCUGCUAUAAGAAUUCUGCUCUUUCGAGCUGCUGAAGAGGUCGAUUUAAGCAGUAAUUCAAGCCGAUAACGUGCAGCAUUUUGGACAUCUGUCCAGACUGUUAUCCCUACUGAAAAUUUGCCCUGUUUUGCGCUGUUUGAGCAGCAGAUGCGCAGUCUUUUGGGUGCAAAUUUUUCACUCUUGGCUCUCAUUGGUUUGGUUGCUGGAUACUUUAGUAUCUAAUUGAGGUUUUAACUUUGACUGCUAGUUGUGCAAGAUAAGUUUUCUCCAACCAUUUGCCGAACAGCUUUGAGUUGUUUACCCUCACACUCUUGUAUGUUCCUCACCCCAACAGAUUUGCUGGUCAGCAGACAAUCUAACUUAAGUGAACCUUGCUGAUCAGUGUCCUUUCUCAUCAUUAUGCUCGGGUUAAUUUUUCAUUAGAAGCGCUUUUGUUUGUGAUGUUUUCUUUAUAUACUAUUAAGAGUAACCUAUUGUUGAAUUUUCCAGCAUGCCAGUUCACUUCUUUUAAUUGGAGUAGGCGUACAUCUGUCAUUUUGAUUCCAUGGAAUUGUGGUCUUACUUGGGAAAUAUUAUGAAAAAUGGGAAUGUAAUUGAAAUUGUUUGUUUGUCAUCUCAUUGGAGCAACACUGCCAUGAUUAGUACUCCAAAGAAGGAAAUCGAAAGUUGCUCAAUACUGUCUUGUGGAGAAAACGAAAUUUUGGUCAAAACUGAUCACUGAAGCAACUGGGAAAAUUGUGAGUCUCUAGGCCAUCUCUGGCUGACUAAAAGAGAUGUAUUAAGAUGGAGUUAUUAUCUGUUUUGGUCUUAUAGCUUUACCUCAUUUUAAGUUAUUAUAGUUUCAGAAGUUUUAUUUAUCUAGAUAGAGUUGGAUAACGCCUAGUGUAUCACCCUAAGCAUGUGUGUAAUUAAUAGCCUUAUUGAAACAUCAAAUUAGUUUUAAAUAUGAACUUCUUUAGCUUGAUUUAGUUGACGACAAUCUUUAGAAAUCGAGGCGCGCCAUUUAGCGAAUUUUUCAUGGC
rnacentral:lncRNA from 1 species